ensembl:lncRNA
AAUCAACUGUUCACAAGAUGCUUUUCACCCCUGCAAGUCUCACAACAGAUCACUUUCCUAGGGCCGUUCUCACUGAUUCAUCUCCCCUUUUCCAGCUGUCCAUUCCGUGUGGACAGACUGCAGGAGAGGCUGUCCAGAAAACAAAUCUCACCUAGUUGUGGAGAACGGGUUAGGAGAGGUGAGUUAAGGCAUAAAGUCUCGCCUUGACAAUAAGUGCAGUAACCCCUGCCCUCAAUGGUGGUUCCGUAAUGGGAUCCACAGGAUGCAAAUUACUUCCUUGGUUCCUUGUUUGUUCUGGGCCACUGGAGAAGACAACCAGCUUCAAGGCACCGGAGGCUGAAGCACGUGGUGGACAUUCUGUUGUUAAUCGGCAAUUUACUCGGUAUUUCUCUUUCUAACAGCAAUUCUCAUUUUGGCUAUACUUCCUUGCUGACAGUUCCAAAUAUGCUAACAGCUAGCUGCUGCCCACAGUGGUUCACAGCUAGCUGGAUUCUGAGCAGCCAGAAUGUGAAGCAUGGAAAACGCCACUCUGUGGUUAGAGCUGGUCCAAGCUCAAAGGUGAAGAUGGUCACCAACAAAAGGACUGAGUGAAAUGAAACUGUUCCUUUUAUCCUGUCUGGGCCUGUCUGGCUCAGAGGGGCCAACAUGAAUGGCAAGAAAUCUGAGAAUGUCCUCCUGCAUGAAUCCCUGGGACAAUCAAUCCGAGACACUUUCUGAGUGGGCUGAAGGAAGCCUCAGGAGACCCUGCUGCUGCUGUGGUGACCUGAGGACCUAGAUGGAACUUUCCAUCUCUGGAGGAAUGCCACAUACAAUGGCAUCCUGUAACAUCUGACCAGCAGUUUAUCCCUCCCCUGUCCCCCUGCAGUCCCCAGAUGUCAUUUGAAUGGCUGAUACACAUCAUAUGAGGAAGUGAUGGCAAGAUCCUAAAGAAGCUGUGGACGAUGAGACUUGGCAAAGUCAUACCCUGCACUGCAGACAUGCUCAAAUGUUCAUUCCCCGAGACAGAGAAAUAAGAAGGCCAGGUCGUGGUAGCACACACCUUUAAUUCCAGCACUCGUGAGGGGGAGGCAGUCAGAUCUCUGAGUUUGAUGCUGGCAGCCUGGUCUACAGAGAGAGUUCCAGGACAGUCAGGACUACACAGAGAAACCCUCUCUUGAAAAACAACAAGAAAAGAAAAUAUUCGUCUCAGAAGGAAGGAAAGAUGGGAAGAAAGGAAGGAGGAGCCAGCAUGUGUGACACAGGAUGAGCAGUCCCAGCCGUGGUCCUCACUAGCUGUGCUACUUGCGGGUGGGGGGUGGGGGGCUAAGCCCUUUGCAUAAGAGCUCUUGCCUGUAGUCCAGCACUUGGGAGGCUGGGGCAGGAGAAUUGUCAUCACUUGGAUACCAGCUUGGGCUACAAAGUGAGUUCCAGCCUGAGCCCCAUAUGGGGGCAGGGACACAACAGGACAAGAAAGACUGGGGGCAAUUCUAAGGUGCCUCAUCUGAAAGAUCAAAGUCCUACUUUCUCCUUUCUGAUGUACUUGGAGAUCUCUGCCCACAGGAGGUCAGAAUGCAAGCAUGGGGAGAACAAGGAAGAACCCAUCC